GGACCUCCCGAAAGGGAGGCUCCAUCUGUUAAAAUUGGAACGAUACAGAGAAGAUUAGCAUGGCCCCUGCGCA
rnacentral:snRNA from 1 species